rnacentral:lncRNA from 1 species
CGACAUCGACAUUUCCAAGGAGAAAUGAGAUCGACUUGUCGUCAAAAAUCCGACUUCUUCAGAAAAGGACAAAAGAAUAUGGUAUUGACCAAAAGAAAGCAUCGGUUACACUAACGUACUUCAAAGUAAAGGUGUAAGUCGAGUAAGAAAAAGGUAAAAAUAUAUUUAUUCAAAGUCAUAAAAAUGAUGAAUGAAAAAUAUUACAGGUUCCUAAUUAAAAUUGAUACGGCGACGUAAGCGGCGAGGGACCUGAUCCAGCGGGGAGGCACCGCGGCGGGGACGCCUCCGACGUCGGCCACGAGGAGGGACAACAGAAGAAGAGACGGGCGGAAGAUCGCCACCAGACCAUUCUUCAAAAAUUGAUUCCCUAGCAGCAACAGCAACACUCUGCCGCUCAACAAUAAGCUGGCGCAGAGAAGAAAGAUCCAAGGUUGACGACCGAGGAUCCAAAAUAUUCAAAAUUCGAUCCAGCUCCUCAAUCUCUCCCUGAAUAAAAUCAGCAAAGAGACUCAUAAGAAGAGCCAU